ensembl:snoRNA
CCCCCUUUAAAAUCACUUAAUGUACUUUCUUACUAGUGACCCAUUGAGUAGUCAAGAAAGGGCAGAACGCAAACACCACUUUUGGAUGAAACGGCAUCAGGCUAUGUUGUUUUGCUUCAAUUGAUGGUAUGAUGAGG